rnacentral:rRNA from 1 species
UGGGGAAUAUUGCACAAUGGACGGAAGUUUGAUGCAGCGACGCCGCGUGGAGGGUGUAGGCCUUCGGGUUGUGAACUCCUUUUUCUCGCGAAAAAGGCACAGUUUUGGCUGUGUUGAUGGUAGUGGGGGAAGAAGCACCGGCUAACUACGUGCCAGCAGCCGCGGUAAUACGUAGGGCGCGAGCGUUGUCCGGAUUUAUUGGGCGUAAAGAGCUCGUAGGUGGUUCGUCGCGUCUGUCGUGAAAGCCAGCAGCUUAACUGUUGGUCUGCGGUGGGUACGGGCGGGCUUGAGUGCGGUAGGGGUGACUGGAAUUCCUGGUGUAGCGGUGGAAUGCGCAGAUAUCAGGAGGAACACCGAUGGCGAAGGCAGGUCACUGGGCCGUUACUGACACUGAGGAGCGAAAGCGUGGGGAGCGAACAGG